rnacentral:lncRNA from 8 species
UUCACGUUUCCUCGAAAAUAUAAUUUUUACCUUUGAAACUUUCUUUUUCAUAUUUACUAUUUAUUUGACUUUGAAUUCAAUUCUAAAGGCAUGAAAUUGACCCCAUACACAUGACAUAACGCUUUAAUUUUAGUAUUUGAAUAAGGUUGUGCGUUUCUCACUAUCAGAGGAGGAGGAAUGAGUUUUGUGUUUGCGCUCCCUGAGGAGGCUGGUGGGAGGAGCCAUAGGAAGACAGGCUCACUGUAAAGGCUGGAAUGGAAUGAAUGGAACUGUAUCAAACACAUCAAACGUUUGGAAACCACAUGUUUGACUCCAUUGAUUCCACUCCAGCCAUUGCAAUGAGCCCGUCCUCCUAUACCUCCUCCCACCAGCCUCCUCUGCUAUCACCCCAGCGUGCUAAACAGCCUUAUACCCCUAUUUGAUCGAGUUCAGCCAAUCACUUCUCCAUUUGGUAAACAGAGAUCCUCGGACCAAAGGGGGAAAAAAACAAACCAUCCUGCCUGGUAUUUAUCUUGACUGCCUUCUCUGCACAAUGUUCUGAAGCAGGUCCUCUCCAGGCCCACAGCACAACUGCUUUUUCCAGAUGUAAGAUCAGGACUGAAAUCUUUCAAAUUAUUUAGUAAUUCAUGUUAAUGUGCCAACAUCAGCCUAAUUAUUGACACAACUUUCCAAUGGGAUUUUGUGGCAGUUUAUAGGAUUAACAUGCGUCAGUCUUUAAAGCCGUUUUGAAGGGCAGUGUAGUUGAAAAUGGAAAAGAUACUCUUAUUAUUUUGGGAAUGAGAAGCGGUAUGCUUUGUGUGUGUGUGUGUUUGUCAGUGCUCAUGCAUGUAUGUCUCCACAUGCUUGUCAUUUCUUUAUUUGUUAAGGGAUUAGGAAUUAUAGCAGUCUGACAAAGGGGUUGAUAACAGUAAGGAUGACUCUUGACCAGAUCGUUCAGUCAUCACUAUGCUGAAUGGUGUUCUAUUUCAGAGCAUGCUUCAUGCAGGUCUUGGUUUCUCUGCCUAUUUCCACGUGUUAGUGGUGCUGAAGUCAACAGACAAAGAAGCCCUAUCACAAGAUGAAGUUCUCCCUCAGAAGAUCAGUAGGCCAGUUCAGCUGCAGGUCAUGCCCUGCCCAGGCCCCUGCCACUAUCUGAUCUGCUUCCUCAGCCAGGGUGUUUGAACUGGAGGCAGCAUCUUACUGACACCAGAGGCCUUCUUAUUCUGCACUCUGAUAAGAUCCCCUCAGUCCACAUAUGGUUUGAGUCCUGAGGUACAACAACAAAUCUUUAUUCUUGUUUAGAAUGUUUUUCUUGUCUAUAGACUGAUGAUAGAUAGUCUUGGCUGUGAGCUGUGUUGAAUGUGUCGAACUGUCAAUGGUUCUGUCACAAUAGGCUUUGACUGAUACCUGUCGCUCCGCUCCCCUAGAGGACAUUGAGAGUCCAUUCAUUCUAUAUGUAACAUCACUCUACUCAGUCUUCUCAGACCUGUACCCUGUAGGUAGUAGUACCGUAUUCCAUUGGUGGAUUAGGUGGUAGGUUAAACUAGCCUAUGAUUUCAGAUGCAUUUAUUUAUUUUCCCUUGUUGGUUAAAGAUGUUGGCAGCCUCACCUCAAUCCUAAAAUCCUCACGUUUAUGAUAUUUGCCCAGCGUGAUCUGUGCCCAUGGAUGAAUGGGAAGAUGGGACAUGUGG